CCUACGGGUGGCAGCAGUAGAGAAUCAUUCACAAUGAGGGAAACCCUGAUGGUGCGACGCCGCGUGGGGGAAUAAAGGUCUUCGAAUUGUAAACCCCUGUCAUGUGGGAGCAAAUUAAAAAGAGAGUACCACAAGAGACAGAGAGGGCUAACUCUGUGCCAGCAGCCGCGGUAAUACAGAGGUCUCAAGCGUUGUUCGGAAUCACAAGGCGUAAAGCGUGCGUUGGCGGUUUCGGAAGUCGUGUGGGAAAGGUGCGGGCUCAACCCGCGGACUGCAUAUGAGACUGUGCGACUAGAGUAAUGAUGGGGGAACCGGAAUUCUCGGUGUAGCAGGUAAAUGCGGAGAUAUCGAGAGGAACAAUCGUGGCGAAGGCGGGUUCCUUGACAUUAACUGACGCUGAGGCACGAAGGCCAGGGGAGCGAAAGGGAUUAGAUACCCCUGGUAGUC
rnacentral:rRNA from 1 species